GCCUGGGUGGCUCAGUGGGUUAAGCGUUCGACUUCGGCUCAGGUCAUGAUCUCUCAGUUUGUGGGUUCGAGCCCUGCCUCGGGCU
rnacentral:tRNA from 1 species